rnacentral:rRNA from 1 species
AAUUAAAUGGGUUUGAUCCUGGCUCAGAGUGAACGCUUAUGGUAUGCUUUACACAUGCAAGUUUAAUGAGAAAAAGAAUAAUAUUAUUGAUCUUUUUAAUAUUAUUCUUUUAUUAUAGCGAACGGGUGAGUAAAAACUUUUUUUUACCAAUCAAUUUAAGAAAUUCGUGCAAUAUGAAAAUCUUAAAUAAAAAAAUUUUUUUAGGAAAAUUUGUAAAAGACUAUACGUUGUUGAUUGAUGAAAAAAGAAAGUAUUAGGUUGUUGGUUUUCCAAGCCGAAGAUGCUUAGUUGGUCUGAGAGGAUGUACAACCACAUUGGGACUGAGACAAGGCCCUGACUUUUAAAGGCUGCAGUGGGGAAUAUUGGACAAUGAGAGAAAUCUUGAUCCAGCAAAAUCAGAUGGUAGGACGCCGACACAAGAAGGCUGUAAGAGUAUUCAGGCGAGGUUGUAAAUAUCUAAUAAAAAAAAAGAUGAUGACUUUUUUUUAGAAUAGUCCCGGUAAACUUCGUGCCAGCAGCCGCGGUAAUACGAAGGGGGCAAGCGUUAUUCAAAAAAACUGGGCGUAAAGGGCUUUUAGAUGGUAUAAAGAGAGUUAUUAGCUAAAGUUCUUAAUUAAGGUAAGAAUUGUCUAAUAAAACAUUUAAACUUUGAGUAGCAAGUGGAUAGGAUUUAUUUUUUUAGUUGAGGUGGCAUUCGUCUAUAAAAAAAGGAGGAUCUUGGGUGAAAACAUCCUAUUGUUUGCGUACUGACGUCAAUAAAGCAAAAGCAUAGGGAGCAAACAGGAUUAGAUAUCCUGGUAGUCUAUGCCCUGACCGAUGGGUAUUAAAAAAUUAAUGUGUUUUUAUAAUUAACGUGUAAAUACUUCGCCUGGGGACUACGGUCGCAAGACUAAAACUCAAAGGAAUUGACGGGGGCUCUUUACAAACGGUGGAGCAUGUGGUUUAAUCUGAUAAUCCGCGUAAAACCUUACCAGUUCUAACUCGGUGUUGCAUGGCUGUCGUCAGCCCGUGUUGUGAAAUGUAGUGCUUGGGCAUUCAACGGGCAAGACCCUCAAUAAAAUUUUAUAUAAAUUUUAGAAAGAUAGUUUAAGGAGGAGUGAUUAUUCUUUGGGAAUCAAAGGAUUAUUUGCGUAAAAGCUUAUAAUUUAGAAUCCCUAUUUUAAAAAAGUAAGUAGUACUUGCUUUAACAAAAUUGUGAAAAAUGUUUACUCUUGCUUCUAAGGAAAUGAGGUUGAAGUCAAGUCGUCAUGGCUCUUCGAACUGGGCUACACAUGUGCUACAAUGAUUAUUACAAAAUAUAAAAUUUUUUUUAUAAAGUGAAACAGUGAUGAAAUUUUUUUGAAAAAUAAUCUUAGUACGGAGUAUAAACUGCAACUCGUUUAUAUGAAGUAGGAAUCGUUAGUAAUCGUGAAUCAGAACGUUACGGUGAAUAGACUUAGGGUCGUGUACACACCGCCCGUCACGUCAGGGGAGUAAAAUUGGCCUGAACAUUCAAUACUAUAUUUUCGAGGAAAAUUUUAUAGGCUUAAAACUAUUAAGGUUUAAGUUAUAUAUUUAAAUUUUCAACUUGAAUUUUUAGUUUGGUGGAGGGACGAUUUUGUGACCGUGAUGAAGUCGUAACAAGGUAAUCGUAAGGGAACUUGCGGUUGGAAAGAACUAUAU